UACGUAGGGUGCGAGCGUUAAUCGGAAUUACUGGGCGUAAAGCGUGCGCAGGCGGUUUUGUAAGCCAGAUGUGAAAGCCCCGGGCUUAACCUGGGAAUGGCAUUUGGGACUGCAAGGCUUGAGUGCGGCAGAGGAGACUGGAAUUCCUGGUGUAGCAGUGAAAUGCGUAGAGAUGCGGAGGAACACCGAUGGCGAAGGCAGCCCCCUGGGCCGACACUGACGCUCAGGCACGAAAGCGUGGGGAGCAAACAGG
rnacentral:rRNA from 1 species